rnacentral:rRNA from 1 species
GACGAACGCUGGCGGCGUGCCUAAUACAUGCGAGUCGAACGCAGUGGGGACGGGUGAGUAACACGUGGGUCACCUCCCAUCAGAGGGGAUAACACUUGGAAACAGGUGCUAAACCGAUAGUGAUGGAUGGACACUCGGUUCAUUAGCUAGUUGGGGGGGUAACGGCUCACCAAGGCCACGAUGCAUAGCCGCCCUGAGAGGGUGACCGGCCACACUGGGACUGUGCCACGGCCCAGACUCCUACGGGAGGCAGCAGUAGGGAAUCUUCGGCAAUGGACGAAAGUCUGACCGGGCAACGCCGCGUGAGUGAAGAAGGUUUUCGGAUCGUAAAACUCUGUUGUUAGAGAAGCGGUAUCUAACCAGAAAGCCACGGCUAACUACGUGCCAGCAGCCGCGGUAAUAC